GACGAACGCUGGCGGCGUGCUUAACACAUGCAAGUCGAACGGAAAGGCCCUGCUUUUGUGGGGUGCUCGAGUGGCGAACGGGUGAGUAACACGUGAGUAACCUGCCCUUGACUUUGGGAUAACUUCAGGAAACUGGGGCUAAUACCGGAUAGGAGCUCCUGCUGCAUGGUGGGGGUUGGAAAGUUUCGGCGGUUGGGGAUGGACUCGCGGCUUAUCAGCUUGUUGGUGGGGUAGUGGCUUACCAAGGCUUUGACGGGUAGCCGGCCUGAGAGGGUGACCGGCCACAUUGGGACUGAGAUACCGCCCAGGCCCCUACGGGAGGCAGCAGUGGGGAAUAUUGACCAAUGGGCGGAAGCCUGAUGCAGCAACGCCGCGUGCGGGAUGACGGCCUUCGGGUUGUAAACCGCUUUCGCCUGUGACGAAGCGUGAGUGACGGUAAUGGGUAAAGAAGCACCGGCUAACUACGUG
rnacentral:rRNA from 1 species